AAGAAGUUAAGGUAAUCAAUAAAGGCAAGAAAUUAUACAUACUCUUCUGAAUAAAGAGCUACUGUUCCCUGCUGUUACAUUAUUGAAUAAUUUCAUAAUGCUUUGGUUUUCAUUGUUAUGGAGAUGAUGACGACUUUACCCAUUUUUCUCGAACAUCUGAAAUGGGUAGACUUAACUCCUUGUUAUUUUCUUAUUAUAAAAUUUUGUGGUUAUGCAUCAUUGAGCAGUUGCACUUAAGAAUAUUUACAUUGGUACUGUGAUUUGAGCCAGACUUGCAAGAAUCCUCUAAUAUCUCAUCUAUUCAGACUGUUAGCUGUUCUAACUAAUCCAGAAGCAUGUGGUUAGGUUGCCAUUUGAAUGGAUUUUUUCAAUUGCAUGGUUUGUAUAAAUCUGAGAUAUUACUCUAGAACAAUUACUCCAUUAUUUUCUGUAUAGCUGAUAAAUUAGGUAACUUUGCUGUGACAAAAACAAGUUGGGUAUAUAUGCCACUGUUAUUGCGAGAAACCGAGAUAUCAGAUUGAUUAUGCUUAUUAUAUCUUAUAGAUAUUGUUCCUGUUUCUUGAUACCUUUUUGUAGCAAAGUGUUGACACUUGCACUUUUUUUAUGCGAGACACUUGCACUUUUUUACAAGUUCAUUUAUGUCCACUGUAGGGUAACCUUGAAGAGAAGCUUGCAACUUAAGCUGUAACAAAACAUUAUGAAAAGAGGUCUCACGCUGUGAAUGUUUAGUUGAUGCACUAGUGUUUUUAGAUGUUGCGCCUCUGUUUUCAUUGUCCUUUGAUUCAUGUAUGCAACUUCGAUGGAAUUGUAUCCGAAUUAUGUGAAUUUGUAACUCCAUGGUUGAUGGAAGCUAUUGAUAGUGGUGUUUCUCUAUUCUAAACAUUCAGAGUAAUGAAAUAGCUAUGUCUAAGACCAUCAAUGUUAAGAUUUUUUUU
rnacentral:lncRNA from 1 species